rnacentral:rRNA from 1 species
AUGGCGUCCUACUACAACGGCGGCAGGCCCAUGUCCUACUCCAACACCGACGAGGGCUUCGACGGCGGCAGGACCAUUUACUCCACCCCCACCGAGUGCUACGACGCCAGCAAGCACGGCCUUGGCAUAGGCCACGGCCAUGGGUAUGGCGGGACCAACAUGUACUCCAACACCACUGACGUCCACUGCUUCGACCCCAGCAUGCACGGGCAAGGCCGCGGCGGCGGUGGCAGGACCAUGUAUCCCAACACCGCCCACGGGCUCUUCGACUCUGGCAGGCCCGGGCAUGGGCACGUCCACCGCUACGGGCACAACGACGGUAGGAUCAUGUCGUACACCACUACCACCACCAAGGAGUCCUUCGGCGGAGGCGAGCAGGGGCAGGGGUACUACAAGAAGGAGGUGAAGCAGCACAAGAACAGGGAGCUCGUCGGUGAGGUUGGCGCCUUUGCCCCGGUAAUUACUCAGGAAGUCAACAUCGCAUAG